UCUGCACCCCUGUGCUCCUCCCAGAACCACAGGGCUCACUUGGGCUAACGGCCCGUUCCCUGCAGACCAGGACUCUACGCGGCCAAGGAGCAGCCCUGGUGCCCCCUGCACACAGACUGAGAUCAUGAAAUCAUUGUGGGCAGCAAAUAACACUAGCUUCUAAAGAUGUGCUCUGGACACGAGUUCAAGCAUCUCCCAUCUGUUUCCUCUUGCCUCUGCUUAUAAACAAAGGUACACUUUUGCUUUGUAGGUACAAUUAUGAUGGGUGAUUUUUCUUUUUUGUAAAAGCAAAGUUCCUUUUAAUAUUUUAUAUUGUUAGGCUAACAGAUAUGUUUAUUUUCACUUAAUUUUCAGUCAUUGGUGCUUUCCUUCAGCUGGGACUCUGCUCAGGAGUGGCCUUGAACAGUGACAAUGGCUGAGAGUUCAGUCAACUUCAGAACAUCUCAGCUGUGCAUGUCAUAUCGUGUCACCCUCUUACUGAUGGAACCACAACAAAGUUUGUUCUACAGCUGAAUUGAAGGGUUGAGAGAGUUCAAGACUUGUCAGUGAGUUUCCAAAAGGUCUCUGAGCCUGGGGCUGGACCCAGCACUGCUGCAAGCAGGGGUGCUCAGGAUGGGACCAUUUGCCUGCA
rnacentral:lncRNA from 1 species